UAAACCUAAGAAAAAACCCAAACACCAAAUUUGAAAUAAAAAAGAAAGAAAAACAUAAAGGAAAAAGAAAAUUGUUCAACUCUCUGGCAUCCCUUAUCAACUUCUCUACUACCAUCGUCAAAACCAUCAAAUAUCCUACCUUUUUUUCGUCCAUGAUGGAAUGUAUGUAGAGACUAAAACCAUCGGAGUCCUUUCAUUUGCAUUUCGCCGACUCAUUUCACCUUUCAGACGGGAACUUUUAUCUUCUUUGAGCGCCGAUUCCAUUCUUGGAUGUGCCUCUUCAAUUUAAAUCCUCGAUGAAUCCCAUUGUUUCCCUUCCUUCGCAAUUAUGUGCGCCAAGUGGUGCAUCGAUUUGCCCGUAAAAUGACAGGUAAAGCUUUCAAGCCUCCGAGCCCGUUCUCUUAUUUCUUUAAUAAUCACAACAAUAUUUGAUUUGUCCUCUUCAAACGUUUGGUUUUCUUUAUGACUAUCAAGGAGUCCCUUUCAAUCGCUAAAUUUCUGAAUCCUAAACCUUCAGCUACUACCACCGUUUGUAAACAAGCUCUUGCUUCUGUCGUGGCUGCAUCAGCCACAAAGGUAUUAGGGUAAGUAUAUGCUACCAGUAUAUGUCCUUCGAAGUCUCUAAAAAUUAUUCAUGUUACUAAAAUCAGCAUAUAACUGUCAUACUCUGCAUUAAAAUUACAUUUUACCACAUUUAUCCUCGGUGGAAUCCAUGAACAAUCAUUUUUUCGAACACCUGCUUCUGUCACUACUUCCAGUUGAAUGUUCUCUAUGUAAAAUGCCUUAAUAAAAGAUAUCAAUCUCGUUAUGCACUGCCUUUCUCAUUGAUGAUAAACUUUGUUUCUGUAAUGCCAUACUGCUCAUAAUAUGAUGACUAAAAUGAUAAACUUUGUUUCUGUAAUGCCAUACUGCUCAUAAUGUGAUGACUAACCAUUUACACUGCACUUCUUUCAUAUUCAAAAAUAAAUUUGCUAACCACAUAUUCCAAUUUUGUUCCGGGCUACUGGAUGAGCCAUCAAUCCCCACUCUUUGCAGGACACAUUUAAUGAACGUGCAUUCCUAGAAGACAUGACUCAUUGAUUCCUCCAUUGUACGGCAGAGAGGACAAAGAUUCACAACCUGUAAAUUUCUAUCUUUUAAAUUGUUAAAAGUAGGGAGGAAGUUAUUGGCAAUUCUCUAAGAUGUAAUUUUGAUUUUGCUUGCAACCUGUAAUCUCUAUAAUUUGUUGUAAAUUUUCUGUAGUAGCGUAGGCUGAUGUAUCCUUUCCUCCAGCCCUAUUAUCGUAUCCUUCUGCAACAGCCAUUUGUAUCCAGUUUUUUGCGGAAUAUACACCUGUUUUGUCACCCCUCCACACCUUUUUCAUCGUGAAUAUCCACUGCAGCAAGUGGGAUAGAAAGAAUUCUGGAUAUUUUCUCUUCCUCAAAAAGCUGUUGUAACACACCAAAUCUCCAGGUAACAUGAUCAAAAUUAACGAGGUAUGCUAUUGAUGUAAAAUUAAUAUUAAUAUGUUGAACUCUUACUUUGCUAUUCCCAGGUCUCGGGAUCCAAGCUUCAUUCCAAAUAUUAAUCGACUUUCCAUUCCUCACUCUCUAUCCCAUUCCUUCCUCCCAAAGUUUCCUCGCACUCCAGAUACUCCUUCAGGUAAACAAAGGAUAAGAUCCUAACCUCACACUCAUAAAGUCAGUAUUCGGAAAAUACUUUGCUUUUAUAACACGUGUAAAUAAGCAAUCUGGCUUCGUAUUUAAUCUCCAACCUUGUUUCGCAAGUAAAGCUAUAUUAAAAUUCGCCAAAUCCCUAAAACCAACCCUUCUUGAUAUUUCAGUUUACACAUUAUUUUCCAAUCACACCAAUCAAUUCUCUUCCCUAUUUUAGAAUUUCCCCACCAAAAUUUGCUAAUAAUAUUUUCAAACUGACGGCAUAGUGAAACGGGAAAUAAGAAAUAUUGCAUAGUAUAAACUGGAAUGGCUUGUAAUAUAGCUUUAAUAAAAACUUCUUUACCUCUAAGUGACAACUGGCGAACACUCCAACUUUCAAUACGUUUAAUCAUCUAUCUUUCAAACUCGCAAACGCCUUCUUUUUUCACCUUCCAAUUAUAGUCGAUAAACCCAAAUAUCUCAAUAGAUUAUUGGAAACCCUUACCUCAAGAAUCACUCCAAUCUGUUCUUGCAUAUCGAUUUGAAUAUUACUACUGAAAAUAAUUAGUGAUUUCUCAAAAUUAAUCAACUGCCCUGAAACCCCUUCAUAUUCAUUCACAACUGUUUUAAUAGCAUUUGCAUUAUCCAAACUUGCUUCCCCAAAUACAAUACUAUCAUCAGCAAAGAAAAUAUAAGUUAAACUAAGUCUUCCUCUCCCCAUCCUAACACCUUUAAUAGCUCCCUCUCUUUUUUCCAAUUGAAUGAGUGAAGAAAAACCUUAUGCACAGAUAAGAAAAAAUAUAUGGGCUCAAAGGGUCCUCUUGUCUCAAACCCCUUGAAGGCUUAAAUUUUUCUCCUCUAAUCCCAUUAAACAGAACCGAAUAUUCCACCGAUCAAAUGCACCCUAUCACAAGAUUCGGCCAUUCAUCACAAAAACCCAUUCGUUUCAUUACUUGUUCAAUAAAAUUUCAUUCAACCCUAUCAUAGGCCUUGCUUAUAUCUAAUUUCAAUGCAAAAUAGCUCCGAUUUCCCUCUCUUUUUGGUUUUAAUGUUUGUAAAACCUCAUAGGCAAUUAUCACAUUAUUCGUGAUUUGUCGUCCAAGAACAAAAGCUGCUUGCGCCUCAUCAAUGCGCUUGUCCAACACAGUUCUAAAUCUGUUAACAAUUGUUUUGGAUAUGAUUUUGUACACCAUAUUACAUAAACUAAUCGGCCUAAAUUGUGUCAUACAAUUUGGGGAAUCAACUUUUGGAAUAAGCACUAUACUAGAACAUUUAAUAACGUCAAUCUUUUUUUUCCUAUUAAGAAUUUUUAAACAAAACUUUGUGAUAAUACUCUGAAAUAACAUAUUUUUAUGUGUUAAUUUCAUAUAUAUUUUGAGUAUGGUUCUACUAAUUUUGGUUUUUUACGGUUUUUUAUCUUGUAGGGAUUAAAUUGAAGGCAAAAGAAAAUUUAGGGGCAAAAAGCAUGAAAUUAAAGACAAAAUAGGUUAGCAUGAGAAACAGGGAAGAAGUGGUGCCUAAAAUACAAAGUAUGAAAGACUUGAGGCAAAAAUUCAAAAAAGAGAUUUAUGAACAUAAGACUUUAUAUAAAUUUGAAUUUUAUUUUUAGGAUUAUUGUUAGGAUUAUUAUGAUAUUGUUUAGACUUAAUUUCAAAUUAUAUCUUUUAUUAUCUUCUAGAAUUUAAAUAGGAACAAGCUAGGUUUUUUAUGUACUAUAAAUAAGAGAUGAAGUGACAUGAAUAUGGAUCAUCAUUUUCUGUAAAAAAAAACUCCUUCCCCCUAAAGCUCUUAGCUUUUUGUUUUUUUUUUUUUAUUUUCCAAUAAAAUCCAUUCCAU
rnacentral:lncRNA from 1 species